rnacentral:rRNA from 1 species
ACGAACGCUGGCGGCGUGCUUAACACAUGCAAGUCGAACGGUGAAGCGCCUUCCUUUUUGGUGGGUGUGGAUGAGUGGCGAACGGGUGAGUAACACGUGAGUAACCUGCCCCUUCUUCUGGAUAACCGCAUGAAAGUGUGGCUAAUACGGGAUAUUCUGGGUCUGUCGCAUGAUGGGUCUGGGAAAGAUAUUGUUUCGGUGGGGGAUGGGCUCGCGGCCUAUCAGCUUGUUGGUGGGGUGAUGGCCUACCAAGGCGGUGACGGGUAGCCGGCCUGAGAGGGUGGACGGUCACACUGGGACUGAGACACGGCCCAGACUCCUACGGGAGGCAGCAGUGGGGAAUAUUGCACAAUGGGAGCAAGCCUGAUGCAGCGACGCCGCGUGAGGGAUGGAGGCCUUCGGGUUGUGAACCUCUUUCGCCAGUGAAGCAGGCCUGCCUCGUUUGUGGGUGGGUUGACGGUAGCUGGAUAAGAAGCGCCGGCUAACUACGUG